rnacentral:rRNA from 1 species
AUUGAACGCUGGCGGCAGGCCUAACACAUGCAAGUCGAACGGUAACAGGAAGAAGCUUGCUUCUUUGCUGACGAGUGGCGGACGGGUGGGUAAUGUCUGGGAAACUGCCUGAUGGAGGGGGAUAACUACUGGAAACGGUAGCUAAUACCGCAUAACGUCGCAAGACCAAAGAGGGGGACCUUCGGGCCUCUUGCCAUCGGAUGUGCCCAGAUGGGAUUAGCUAGUAGGUGGGGUAACGGCUCACCUAGGCGACGAUCCCUAGCUGGUCUGAGAGGAUGACCAGCCACACUGGAACUGAGACACGGUCCAGACUCCUACGGGAGGCAGCAGUGGGGAAUAUUGCACAAUGGGCGCAAGCCUGAUGCAGCCAUGCCGCGUGUAUGAAGAAGGCCUUCGGGUUGUAAAGUACUUUCAGCGGGGAGGAAGGGAGUAAAGUUAAUACCUUUGCUCAUGGACGUUACCCGCAGAAGAAGCACCGGCUAACUCCGU